rnacentral:rRNA from 1 species
GACAAACGCUGGCGGCAUGCCUAACACAUGCAAGUCGAACGAACAGAACAGGGAAGCUUUUCGGAGUGGAACUGGAAAGUUAGUGGCGGAUGGGUGAGUAACGCGUGGACAACCUACCUUGUAAAGGGGAAUAACCUCGAGAAAUCGAAGCUAAUACCCCAUAAUAACCUUGCUUCGCAUGAAGUAAGGAGGAAAGGCGGCCUUAGCGCUGUCGAUACAAGAUGGGUCCGCGUCUGAUUAGCUAGUUGGUGAGGUAAAGGCUCACCAAGGCGACGAUCAGUAGCCGGCCUGAGAGGGUGAACGGCCACAUUGGGACUGAGACACGGCCCAAACUCCUACGGGAGGCAGCAGUGGGGAAUCUUCCGCAAUGGGCGAAAGCCUGACGGAGCAAUGCCGCGUGAGUGAAGAAGGCCUUCGGGUUGUAAAACUCUGUCCUUAUCGAAGAGAGAGUGUUGUAGUAACUGACAAUACUAGGACGGUAGAUGAGGAGGAAGCCCCGGCUAACUAUGUG